CCUACGGGACGCAGCAGUGGGGAAUAUUGCACAAUGGGGGGAACCCUGAUGCAGCAAUGCCGCGUGGGUGAAGAAGCACUCCGGUGCGUAAAGCCCUGUCAGCAGGGAAGAAAAUGACAGUAUCUGGACAAGAAGCCCCGGCUAACUACGUGCCAGCAGCCGCGGUAAUACGUAGGGGGCAAGCGUUAUCCGGAUUUACUGGGUGUAAAGGGUGCGUAGGCGGAGUGUCAAGUCAGCGGUAAAAUUUCGGGGCUCAACCCCGUCGUGCCGUUGAAACUGACGCCCUUGAGUGAGUGAGAAGUAAG
rnacentral:rRNA from 1 species